rnacentral:rRNA from 1 species
GAUGAACGCUAGCUACAGGCUUAACACAUGCAAGUCGAGGGGUAACAAGAGGAAAGCUUGCUUUCCUUGUUGACGACCGGCGCACGGGUGAGUAACGCGUAUCCAACCUGCCUAUAACUAGGGAAUAACCUUGCGAAAGUAAGACUAAUACCCUAUGAUUUCCUUUGAUGACAUCAGAUUAGGAAUAAAGAUUUAUCGGUUAUAGAUGGGGAUGCGUCUGAUUAGCUUGUUGGCGGGGUAACGGCCCACCAAGGCAACGAUCAGUAGGGGUUCUGAGAGGAAGGUCCCCCACAUUGGAACUGAGACACGGUCCAAACUCCUACGGGAGGCGGCAGUGAGGAAUAUUGGUCAAUGGGCGGAAGCCUGAACCAGCCAAGUAGCGUGCAGGAUGACGGCCCUAUGGGUUGUAAACUGCUUUUAUACAGGAAUAAAGUUAGCCACGUGUGGUUAUUUGUAGGUACUGUAUGAAUAAGGACCGGCUAAUUCCGUGCCAGCAGCCGCGGUAAGAC